rnacentral:rRNA from 1 species
UACGUAGGGUGCAAGCGUUGUCCGGAAUUAUUGGGCGUAAAGGGCUCGUAGGCGGUCCAUCGCGUCGGGAGUGAAAAGCUGGGGCUUAACCCCAGUCCUGCUUCCGAUACGGGUGGACUAGAGGUAGGUAGGGGAGAUCGGAAUUCCUGGUGUAGCGGUGAAAUGCGCAGAUAUCAGGAAGAACACCCGUGGCGAAGGCGGCUCUCUGGGACGGUACUGACGCUGAGACGCGAAAGCGUGGGGAGCGAACGGG